GAUAAUGACUGUAUCUGGUAAAGAAACCCCGGCUAACUCCGUGCCAGCAGCCGCGGUAAUACGGAGGGGGUUAGCGUUGUUCGGAAUUACUGGGCGUAAAGCGCACGUAGGCGGAUCUUAAAGUAUGGGGUGAAAUCCCGGGGCUCAACCCUGGAACUGCCUUGGAUACUCCUGGUCUUGAGUUCGAGAGAGGUGAGUGGAAUUCCGAGUGUAGAGGUGAAAUUCGUAGAUAUUCGGAGGAACACCAGUGGCGAAGGCGGCUCACUGGCUCGAUACUGACGCUGAGGUGCGAAAGUGUGGGGAGCAAACAGGAUUAGAUACCCUGGUAGUCCACACCGUAAACGAUGAAUGCCAGACGUCGGGUAGCAUGCUUGUCGGUGUCACACCUAACGGAUUAAGCAUUCCGCCUGGGGAGUACGGUCGCAAGAUUAAAACUCA
rnacentral:rRNA from 1 species